AUACGGAGGGUGCAAGCGUUGUCCGGAUUUAUUGGGUUUAAAGGGUGCGUAGGUGGUUUUUUAAGUCAGUGGUGAAAGCCUACAGCUUAACUGUAGAGGUGCCAUUGAUACUGGGGAACUUGAGUAUGGACGAGGUAGGCGGAAUUUGUGGUGUAGCGGUGAAAUGCAUAGAUACCACAAGGAACACCGAUAGCGAAGGCAGCUUACUGGGCCAUAACUGACACUCAGGCACGAAAGCGUGGGGAGCGAACAGGAUUAGAAACCCUAGUAGUCC
rnacentral:rRNA from 1 species